CCUACGGGUGGCAGCAGUGGGGAAUAUUGGGCAAUGGGCGCAAGCCUGACCCAGCAACGCCGCGUGAAGGAAGAAGGCUUUCGGGUUGUAAACUUCUUUUCUGAGGGACGAAGAAAGUGACGGUACCUCAGGAAUAAGCCACGGCUAACUACGUGCCAGCAGCCGCGGUAAUACGUAGGGAGCAAGCGUUGUCCGGAAUUACUGGGCGUAAAGGGCGCGUAGGUGGGCGCUUAAGUCAGGUGUGAAAACUCCGGGCUCAACCUGGAGACUGCACUUGAAACUGGGUGUCUUGAGGGCAGGAGAGGAAAGUGGAAUUCCUAGUGUAGCGGUGAAAUGCGUAGAUAUUAGGAGGAACACCAGUGGCGAAGGCGGCUUACUGGACAGUAACUGACGUUGAGGCUCGAAAGCGUGGGGAGCAAACAGGAUUAGAUACCCCUGUAGUC
rnacentral:rRNA from 1 species